UACAGAGGUCCCCGAGCGUUGUUCGGAUUUAUUGGGCGUAAAGGGUGCGUAGGUGGCAAAAGUAAGUUGGAUGUGAAAUCCCUGGGGCUCAACCCUCAGAAUUGCAUUCAAUACUGCCUAGCCUAGAGAGCUGUAGAGGAGACUGGAAUUUACGGUGUAGCAGUGAAAUGCGUAGAUAUCGUAAGGAACGCCAGUGGCGAAAGCGAGU
rnacentral:rRNA from 1 species